GACGAACGCUGGCGGCGUGCUUAACACAUGCAAGUCGAGCGGUAAGGCCCUUUCGGGGGUACGACGAGCGGCGAACGGGUGAGUAACACGUGGGUGACCUGCCCUCAGCUCUGGGAUAAGCCUGGGAAACCGGGUCUAAUACUGGAUAUGACUCCAUGACGCAUGUUGUGGGGUGGAAAGCCUUGUGCGGCUGAGGAUGGGCCCGCGGCCUAUCAGCUUGUUGGUGGGGUGANGGCCUACCAAGGCGACGACGGGUAGCCGGCCUGAGAGGGCGACCGGCCGCACUGGGACUGAGACACGGCCCAGACUCCUACGGGGAGGCAGCAGUGGGGAAUCUUGCGCAAUGGGCGAAAGCCUGACGCAGCGACGCCGCGUGAGGGAUGACGGCCU
rnacentral:rRNA from 1 species